AGUUAUUGAAAUAAAUCAUUUAUUCAUCUAAUGGAAAAAUAUCUUUAACAGACUCUAAAUGAACUUGCGGAACCGUAAAGUUGGAGCAAGUUGAUAUGAAAUGUUCUCUGGUAGAAUUUCAGUACCAAUGCAUUAUCUUGAAAACUAAUUACUCUAUAGUUUUAGUUGAGCAAAAUCAAAAAAGUUGUGAAAAAGACUGUUCAGCAUUAAAUGAAGAUUCUAGUCAUCAACGUUUAUAUGCACUGUUAACAACACUUGGCGUACUAUUAGUUCUGCUAAUAUUUGUUAUAGCUGUACUUCCCAGUUUAAGGCAUAAAGAAAACACAGAUGUUAACUACUAUCAAAACUUUAGAGCUAAUCCUUUAGUGAAUUAUUCAAAGUCUGAUCUUGAGGCAUUAGAGCAAGAUUUGGUUAACAGAGACAACCAAUCUUUAUUUGAGGAAAGUAGUUCGGCAGCAUAUAAAGAUAAUUCUAGACCAGAAAAUUUUGAACAAACGAAUAUUUAUAGAGAAGAUGAGAUUUUCGGUAAUGACGAUUUAAAUUCAUUUAGAAGUUUUAAGGAAGCGUUAGCAAAUCUUGAUAAAGUAUUAGAAAACGAUAAUAAAUCUGGAAUUGAAACCUUUGAACAAAGCAAAGUUGGCAGUUAUGCCAAAUCAAUAAAUCUUUCCACAAAAAUAAAAGAACAAAGUUCAUCUUCAAAUAGUUUAACAGACACUUUGAAUUCUUGUUUUUCAAUUGAAGAGUAUCAAGAAUUGUCUCAUAAGUAUGAAAAUAUUUAUCAAGAAAUCAAUCCCGUUAUUAUUAACGCUGAUAAGAAAAUGUUUGAAAUAAACUUUUAAUAAUAUAUGCAUAGUAAAUAUCUUUAUUUAUAUAUAUGAA
rnacentral:lncRNA from 1 species